AUCAACGGGUUCGGAUCUUAUACGGUGUGACGUUAUUUGGAUCGGUUCGGUUCAGGUUCAUUCGCAUACGGUUUGGGUCAAUUUUCUAUUUCAAAAAAACGAUUUUUAAUCGGCUCGGUUCUCAUUUGGGUCGGUUUAUUUCGGAAAGUUUAACAGUUUCGAUUUGAAAUUUCACAGCACUAAUUGUGACACAAAUAAAAAUAGAAAGUAUAUCAAAUAAUAUGGGACAAAGGGAGUAAUUAGAAAAAACACCCCUAACAUUUUACAAAAAAAAGACCUCUCAUAUCUCAUUAAAAAAAAAUAAUAAUAAUAAUAAAAAAAAAAAGUAACCCCUCCACUCUUUGUAGAACUUGUUAUGUACACUCGAUUCUAUACAACAAAUUUUAUGUCUCAUCUAUCAAAUAUUUUAGCUCUUUCUCUCAAGAAAUUCAACCCCUCCUACUUUCUCCAUGGCCACCUCUCGGUCCACCCAGGAGGACACUAUUAAGCAAUUAUAAGAUUUUAAAAUCUUAGUGGUUCUCCUCAUCCAAAUCAUCCCAAUACUUCACUCAUAAGAAGUUCUGCUAAUGAGGUUAGUAAUGUGGUCCAAAAAUUGAUCUUGAAAUUUUCAAUUUUGAUUCUAUGUAUUUUAAUUGGGUUCUUUCGUUGUCAAUUAGAUAUGAUAGUGUCAAUUAAAGUUUUAUGGUUGUAAUUAAAUAUAUGUAUAACAGUUGAUUUUGGAUUGUUUGAAUCAAUUAUAUUCAAUAUUAAUCUCGAUUAAUAGUUUACUAGAAAAAAUGAGAAUGAUUUUGUUAGGCAUGAAUUGAUUAAUAAGACUAUGAUUUGUUUUAUGGUAUGAGAAUGGUGUAUUAUAUGAAGCUGGAUGUUUCUAGAGUGUUGCUUGUGUUGGUGCCAUUAGCUUUGAUGAAGAGUGCUAUUUGAGAAUAGAAAUUUAGGUUUGAUCUGCUAACUAUCAAUUUAUCAUCAAUUUAAUUUGUAUGUCCUUAGAAAUAUAACCUUAAUUUUUACACCAAUUUGAUAUGGCACAAAAUCUCCACUAUCUAAACAUCAACCAAAUUAUUAGUUUUCUGACUGAGUAAUGAACAGCAACACUUAUGCUGAUGAGCGUACACCAAUUUACGCAUCUUGUCCUUAAUCAUCAGUCUACCCUUCAUAGCAAACCGAAGCACGAGCCUAUGUGUAGGGACUGUCAAUGUGAACCAAACUGCUGCUAUCCGAGAAACAUUCUGCUACAUCCCAGCUUGAAGAUUUGGUGUACGGAAAAAAAGAUGGAGGAUAUUAUCAAUCAUUCCCAGCUUUCUGUUGGAAAACCAAAAGAAACUUGUUGCAGCUACUAUGGCUAUGCGAUGCAUAACUAUAUAAGAAGACACGCACUUAAAGAUUUGGAAUUUGAUAAAUGUGAUGCAGGUCCUUAUUAUAUUCCUGCAGUUGAAGGAGAUGAGGAAAUUGGAGGCAACUCAGUAACUACUUUAGAAGAACAUGAUGGUUUGAUGGAUGUUUAGAAGACCACAAUGUUGCUGAAUCUAAAAAUGAAGUGAAAAAUCUGGUUUCUGAUGUUGCUGUUUCUGAACCCAAAUUGGGUGAUUUGGAAGAGAAAAUUAUUAGUUUCGCAGAAAAAAGGUAGGAAGUGUUGAUGAUAUGAAAUUAACUCUGUUGAAAUUGAUGGUUAAAAGAAGUGAAAAUAACCCAAAUGAAAUUUAUUUGGAUAUUUGGAUUAGCUUGGUUGGUUGUGGUGGAUUUGAUGGUGUUGAUGUGUUUCGCAAGAGUAAGAAGGCUUUUACAAAGGCUAUUGCUACAUAUAGGAUAAGAAAAUCUGCAGCCGUAAUGAAAGGAGAGAGCUUCUUUAGACCAUCUCAGAUAAAUGGUUAUAUGAUAGUUGGUAUUGUUGAGUCUAGGGAGGAGAGGGAGAAGACUCCAUCACCUAGAAGGAAUCCGAAGGUGAACAGCUCGGUAAGAUUGAAUUUGGAGGUGAGUUCAGUGGUAGGAUAUGCAAAACAGGGAGGAAAGUGUGUUUGCUGUGACUGGUGAAAGAAAAGCAAAGAAGAGUAAGGUGUCUAGUUGUGCUUCAGAGUUUGCUAAGCAAGAGGAUGUCAAAGAGGAAGGGACAAGGACAACAUUAAGGCGAUCGCAACGACUCCGGGCGCUAAAUGAAUUGUAUCUCCCAGAAGCUGAAAACAGCAUUUUGGUGGCUAUGUCCAACCUUAAGCAUUACUAGAAGCAGCAUAUUUCAGUGCUUUCCUGCUUAAAUUAACUUUAGAUAGUCUAACUACACAACAUUUGCAAAGUUAGGCCUUUUUUCUUUUUUUUUUUUUUUUUUGGGUAGAAAGUUGGUAUUAAUCUGUACUUGAUUAUGAUCAUAUUUGAUAUACUUUUAUGAAGUAAAAGUGGAAUAAUUUUAGAUUUUUAGGGCUAUUUUUCAUUAUUCUUGUUAUGAUGGUGACUAACCUAUGUUUGCCUUUUCCUUUAAAUUUGUGCAUUGGCCUAAUAAUCUUAUCCUUGUGACUUUUUUUUUAAAAAAAAAUUAUUAUUUUUUUAAUCUUUUGGACCACAAUUAAAGUUGCCUUAAAAUUGGCUUUUUGUUGUGGAUAAUGUUCAUGUCAACGGAGGGGCAUAUUUAUAGAUUAAUUUUGUUAUGAAAAGUUGGGAUGAAUUGGAAUCCAUUUUCCCAAAAAAAUAAAAAUAAAAAAGGUAAGUCUUCCUACUUGUAUACUGUGUCCGCACCAUGUUUCCUGGUAGUUUAGCAAGAAUAUGUUUUAUAAUAACCGAUGCAUGUUACACGUUUUUAAGAACUUCGGUUGAUAUAAUACAUAUUA